rnacentral:rRNA from 1 species
GACGAACGCUGGCGGCGUGCUUAACACAUGCAAGUCGAACGAUGAAGCCUAGCUUGCUAGGUGGAUUAGUGGCGAACGGGUGAGUAAUACGUGAGUAACCUACCUUUAACUCUGGGAUAAGCCUGGGAAACUGGGUCUAAUACCGGAUACGACCAAUCUCCGCAUGGGGUGUUGGUGGAAAGCGUUAUGUAGUGGUUAUAGAUGGGCUCACGGCCUAUCAGCUUGUUGGUGAGGUAACGGCUCACCAAGGCGACGACGGGUAGCCGGCCUGAGAGGGUGACCGGCCACACUGGGACUGAGACACGGCCCAGACUCCUACGGGAGGCAGCAGUGGGGAAUAUUGCACAAUGGGCGCAAGCCUGAUGCAGCGACGCCGCGUGAGGGAUGACGGCCCUCGGGUUGUAAACCUCUGUUAGCAGGGAAGAAGGGAAAUUGACGGUACCUGCAGGGAAAGCGCCGGCUAACUACGUGCCAGCAGCCGCGGUAAUACGUAGGGCGCGAGCGUUGUCCGGAAUUAUUGGGCGUAAAGAGCUUGUAGGCGGUUUGUCGCGUCUGCUGUGAAAGGCCGGGGCUUAACCCCGUGUAUUGCAGUGGGUACGGGCAGACUAGAGUGCAGUAGGGGAGACUGGAAUUCCUGGUGUAGCGGUGGAAUGCGCAGAUAUCAGGAGGAACACCGAUGGCGAAGGCAGGUCUCUGGGCUGUAACUGACGCUGAGAAGCGAAAGCAUGGGGAGCGAACAGG